rnacentral:rRNA from 1 species
AACGCGUGGGUAACCUGCCUCAUACAGGGGGAUAACAGCUAGAAAUGACUGCUAAUACCGCAUAAGACCACGGAGCCGCAUGGCUCCGUGGGAAAAACUCCGGUGGUAUGAGAUGGACCCGCGUCUGAUUAGGUAGUUGGUGGGGUAACGGCCUACCAAGCCAACGAUCAGUAGCCGACCUGAGAGGGUGACCGGCCACAUUGGGACUGAGACACGGCCCAAACUCCUACGGGAGGCAGCAGUGGGGAAUAUUGCACAAUGGGGGAAACCCUGAUGCAGCGACGCCGCGUGAGCGAAGAAGUAUUUCGGUAUGUAAAGCUCUAUCAGCAGGGAAGAAAAUGACGGUACCUGACUAAGAAGCACCGGCUAAAUACGUGCCAGCAGCCGCGGUAAUACGUAUGGUGCAAGCGUUAUCCGGAUUUACUGGGUGUAAAGGGAGCGUAGACGGCUGUGUAAGUCUGAAGUGAAAGCCCGGGGCUCAACCCCGGGACUGCUUUGGAAACUAUGCAGCUAGAGUGUCGGAGAGGUAAGUGGAGUUCCCAGUGUAGCGGUGAAAUGCGUAGAUAUUGGGAGGAACACCAGUGGCGAAGGCGGCUUACUGGACGAUGACUGACGUUGAGGCUC